UACGAAGGGGGCUAGCGUUGCUCGGAAUCACUGGGCGUAAAGGGUGCGUAGGCGGGUCUUUAAGUCAGGGGUGAAAUCCUGGAGCUCAACUCCAGAACUGCCCUUGAUACUGACGGUAUCGUGAGUCCGGGAGAGGUGAGUGGAACUGCGAGUGUAGAGGUGAAAUUCGUAGAUAUUCGCAAGAACACCAGUGGCGAAGGCGGCUCACUGGCCCGGUACGUACGACGCCUGAGGU
rnacentral:rRNA from 1 species